ACCGAGAAAUUCAACAGCCUUCAUAGUGGUCUGUGAUGCCCCAAAGGAUCAUGGCUGCAGCUUGACUCUGCCUGCUCUUUUAAAGGUCAAACCUCAGAAUACCACUUUGUGAAGAGCAUUAUAUUCGAAGAGAAGCACACAGAUGUAAAGCAGGGUUCAAGCAAGGACCAUUUCCACAGCAUCUUCAUGAGACGUCAACACUGAUUAUGCUACUUGCCUAUAUGAACAGAAAGCGGGAAUAAAAAAACCUCGUGGUUUUCCCAAAGUUAGCUCCUUAUAACAGGAAAUUCAUAAGAGGAGAAGUGGCAGGGUUGAGCUGAUCAGUAGAACAGGUGUAAGCACUUUCCUUACUUGCUUAGGGAAAAAAAAAAGAAGGUGGUUGUACGGAAAAGCACAUUUCAUAGCCAGUCACAGCCCAUGGGUUUAAAAACUAGGUGAACAGAAUCCUGGCCUAGGCAUAUGUAGCCCAAAGGUCUUUUAGAGCCGGAUUUUUCCCAGAGAUGGAACCAUUCCAGGGAAAGAAGAGUUCCCAGGACUGGGUUUCUUGAUUUGCUGGCAGGUUUCAGAUAACUGUGCCUGGCCUCGUUUGGGGACUCUGAGGUCUAGGCAGGCAAGUGCUUGUAAGCAGUGCUGACAGGUUAUUUUAUCUUCAAUUAAGUUGUAGCAAGUUGCACCAAGAUCAGAUUGUUCUACCUAAAUUAAAGGUGUUCUUUCUCAUAUUGCAGUCUGUGAAGCAGGGGAGAGAGGCUCAAGCCAGAGUGGAACUGCACAGCAAGAAGCCAGGCAGCUUCACACGCUGAGCCACCAAGCAAGUCAGUGAAUCCUGCCCUACUUUCACUUCGCUUCCUGCACUGUGUGGAAGUCUGAGCCUCUCCUCACAGGCAUAGAAAGGAAGCAAUCCCCUCUGCACAUCUCCUAAGACGGCCUUUAGUUAUAAAGAAGAAUUAAUUUUUACACAGGAAAUGGACAUUAAGCUGAUGGUGCCUCUCGUGUGGAGGAGAUUGGAGUUCCAGGAUCUGAGCUGGAGAAUCCCCAUUGCUGAACUGUGACUGACAAAGCUUCUGUGAGAGGGACAGUCCAUGGAGGUUUGCAGUGAGCAGGCUGCUGUGUCGCCUGUCCUGCAGUCUACCCAAGUCAACACUUAAUCCACCUUCACCUCAUCACCAGAGUAACCUCCCUCUGGGAAGGUGGAAGGUACACAGACGAUGUAAUGCAUGAGGAAGUCUGGCAGGAGAAUGAAUUUGAAGAAUUAGGCAACACUCUGAAACUAAAGAGCCAGCAAGCCUUGAACCAGUGGUGAUAAGUGGGAGUUGUAUAUGAGCAAGAUGAAACUUACUAUGGGUCACAAAGAGAACUGACUGGUGACCACAGUGAAUAAGAACUCAAUGGAUACUUGAGGUUUACUGGAAGAGUAAUGGAGGGUGUGUGGUAGAAAUAUAUUCAUGUAUGAAGAGGUAAUAAUCUGCUAGUAAAGUACAAAUGGAAUCAGUAUAGAGCUAAGACUUGGAUUCGGGC
rnacentral:lncRNA from 1 species